rnacentral:rRNA from 1 species
AUAUUCUGUAGCAAGGUUAACCGAAUAGGGGAGCCGGAGGGAAACCGAGUCUUAACCGGGCGUUAAGUUGCAGGGUAUAGACCCGAAACCCGGUGAUCUAGCCAUGGGCAGGUUGAAGGUUGGGUAACACUAACUGGAGGACCGAACCGACUAAUGUUGAAAAAUUAGCGGAUGACCUGUGGCUGGGGGUGAAAGGCCAAUCAAACCGGGAGAUAGCUGGUUCUCCCCGAAAGCUAUUUAGGUAGCGCCUCGUGAAUUCAUCUCCGGGGGUAGAGCACUGUUUCGGCUAGGGGGCCAUCCCGGCUUACCAACCCGAUGCAAACUGCGAAUACCGGAGAAUGUUAUCACGGGAGACACACGGCGGGUGCUAACGUCCGUCGUGAAGAGGGAAACAACCCAGACCGCCAGCUAAGGUCCCAAAGUCAUGGUUAAGUGGGAAACGAUGUGGGAAGGCCCAGACAGCCAGGAUGUUGGCUUAGAAGCAGCCAUCAUUUAAAGAAAGCGUAAUAGCUCACUGGUCGAGUCGGCCUGCGCGGAAGAUGUAACGGGGCUAAACCAUGCACCGAAGCUGCGGCAGCGACACUGUGUGUUGUUGGGUAGGGGAGCGUUCUGUAAGCCUGUGAAGGUGUGUCGUGAGGCAUGCUGGAGGUAUCAGAAGUGCGAAUGCUGACAUAAGUAACGAUAAAGCGGGUGAAAAGCCCGCUCGCCGGAAGACCAAGGGUUCCUGUCCAACGUUAAUCGGGGCAGGGUGAGUCGACCCCUAAGGCGAGGCCGAAAGGCGUAGUCGAUGGGAAACGGGUUAAUAUUCCCGUACUUGGUGUUACUGCGAAGGGGGGACGGAGAAGGCUAUGUUGGCCGGGCGACGGUUGUCCCGGUUUAAGCGUGUAGGUGUGUGUUCCAGGUAAAUCCGGUUCACUUUAACACUGAGGCGUGACGACGAGGCACUACGGUGCUGAAGCAACAAAUGCCCUGCUUCCAGGAAAAGCCUCUAAGCAUCAGGUAACAUCAAAUCGUACCCCAAACCGACACAGGUGGUCAGGUAGAGAAUACCAAGGCGCUUGAGAGAACUCGGGUGAAGGAACUAGGCAAAAUGGUGCCGUAACUUCGGGAGAAGGCACGCUGACACGUAGGUGAAGUGAUUUACUCAUGGAGCUGAAGUCAGUCGAAGAUACCAGCUGGCUGCAACUGUUUAUUAAAAACACAGCACUGUGCAAACACGAAAGUGGACGUAUACGGUGUGACGCCUGCCCGGUGCCGGAAGGUUAAUUGAUGGGGUCAGCGCAAGCGAAGCUCCUGAUCGAAGCCCCGGUAAACGGCGGCCGUAACUAUAACGGUCCUAAGGUAGCGAAAUUCCUUGUCGGGUAAGUUCCGACCUGCACGAAUGGCGUAAUGAUGGCCAGGCUGUCUCCACCCGAGACUCAGUGAAAUUGAACUCGCUGUGAAGAUGCAGUGUACCCGCGGCAAGACGGAAAGACCCCGUGAACCUUUACUAUAGCUUGACACUGAACAUUGAGCCUUGAUGUGUAGGAUAGGUGGGAGGCUUUGAAGUGUGGACGCCAGUCUGCAUGGAGCCGACCUUGAAAUACCACCCUUUAAUGUUUGAUGUUCUAACGUGGACCCGUUACCCGGGUUGCGGACAGUGUCUGGUGGGUAGUUUGACUGGGGCGGUCUCCUCCUAAAGAGUAACGGAGGAGCACGAAGGUUGGCUAAUCCUGGUCGGACAUCAGGAGGUUAGUGCAAUGGCAUAAGCCAGCUUGACUGCGAGCGUGACGGCGCGAGCAGGUGCGAAAGCAGGUCAUAGUGAUCCGGUGGUUCUGAAUGGAAGGGCCAUCGCUCAACGGAUAAAAGGUACUCCGGGGAUAACAGGCUGAUACCGCCCAAGAGUUCAUAUCGACGGCGGUGUUUGGCACCUCGAUGUCGGCUCAUCACAUCCUGGGGCUGAAGUAGGUCCCAAGGGUAUGGCUGUUCGCCAUUUAAAGUGGUACGCGAGCUGGGUUUAGAACGUCGUGAGACAGUUCGGUCCCUAUCUGCCGUGGGCGCUGGAGAACUGAGGGGGGCUGCUCCUAGUACGAGAGGACCGGAGUGGACGCAUCACUGGUGUUCGGGUUGUCAUGCCAAUGGCACUGCCCGGUAGCUAAAUGCGGAAGAGAUAAGUGCUGAAAGCAUCUAAGCACGAAACUUGCCCCGAGAUGAGUUCUCCC